rnacentral:tRNA from 1 species
GCUACUGUAGCUCAGUUCGGCAGAGCAGCUGAUUCGUAACCAGCAGGUCGCCGGUUCGACUCCGGCCAGUAGCUCCA